GGCAAAGGAAAGCUACGUAAAAAAAAAAAGGUCCGUACCAAGCCAGACUGAAUCUUCGGACUAUUUCACUUGCUUGCAAGCAAAAUUGCAAGCAAAAAAUACCACGGCGCGCUGCGAAGCAAUAGUUACGAAUUAGGCAGAAGUGAAGUAUUGGAAGGAGUCGCCGAACAUUAUGGCGCCCUUCAAAGAAGUGUCAAAAUAAUUUCUAUGUGUCCCUGCCACUUCCUGCGAGUCAGAAAGAGCCUUCAGCAAGGCGGGGCAAAUUAUUUCUGACCGCAGGACCGCGCCUAACGGCUGAUGUUGUUGACCAA